rnacentral:rRNA from 1 species
AUUGAACGCUGGCGGCAUGCCUAACACAUGCAAGUCGAGCGGAUGAAGGGAGCUUGCUCCUGGAUUCAGCGGCGGACGGGUGAGUAAUGCCUAGGAAUCUGCCUGGUAGUGGGGGAUAACGUCCGGAAACGGGCGCUAAUACCGCAUACGUCCUGAGGGAGAAAGUGGGGGAUCUUCGGACCUCACGCUAUCAGAUGAGCCUAGGUCGGAUUAGCUAGGUGGUGGGGUAAAGGCCUACCAAGGCGACUAUCCGUAACUGGUCUGAGAGGACGAUCAGUCACACUGGAACUGAGACACGGUCCAGACUCCUACGGGAGGCAGCAGUGGGGAAUAUUGGACAAUGGGCGAAAGCCUGAUCCAGCCAUGCCGCGUGUGUGAAGAAGGUCUUCGGAUUGUAAAGCACUUUAAGUUGGGAGGAAGGAAAGUAAGUUAAUACCUUGCUGUUUUGACGUUACCAACAGAAUAAGCACCGGCUAACUUCGUG